GAUGAACGCUGGCGGCGUGCCUAAUACAUGCAAGUCGAGCGAACAGACGAGGAGCUUGCUCCUCUGACGUUAGCGGCGGACGGGUGGGUAACACGUGGAUAACCUACCUAUAAGACUGGGAUAACUUCGGGAAACCGGAGCUAAUACCGGAUAAUAUAUUGAACCGCAUGGUUCAAUAGUGAAAGACGGUUUUGCUGUCACUUAUAGAUGGAUCCGCGCCGCAUUAGCUAGUUGGUAAGGUAACGGCUUACCAAGGCAACGAUGCGUAGCCGACCUGAGAGGGUGAUCGGCCACACUGGAACUGAGACACGGUCCAGACUCCUACGGGAGGCAGCAGUAGGGAAUCUUCCGCAAUGGGCGAAAGCCUGACGGAGCAACGCCGCGUGAGUGAUGAAGGUCUUCGGAUCGUAAAACUCUGUUAUUAGGGAAGAACAAAUGUGUAAGUAACUAUGCACGUCUUGACGGUACCUAAUCAGAAAGCCACGGCUAACUACGUG
rnacentral:rRNA from 1 species